rnacentral:lncRNA from 1 species
GUAGUGUAUCAAACAAAUAUAAUUUGAUCAUAGAUAAAUAGAUUCAAUUAUCCUCGUUUGGCACUUCACUUCAUUCAAAUAAUGGGUUCUUUCUUUGAAUUUGUUAUGAUACAAUAAUUUUUUUUUAUUGUAAUUGUAUUGAAACAAAAAAAAUGGAUAACAAUGGAGUGAAUAAGACAGGAGGCGGUCCGCAAAUUUUCACUUAUUCUAUUUCUAUUUCUAUGGUUUUAUUUGAGAAUUUCGU